rnacentral:rRNA from 1 species
UACGUAGGUGGCGAGCGUUAUCCGGAAUCAUUGGGCGUAAAGAGGGAGCAGGCGGCCGCAAGGGUCUGUGGUGAAAGACCGAAGCUAAACUUCGGUAAGCCAUGGAAACCGGGCGGCUAGAGUGCGGAAGAGGAUCGUGGAAUUCCAUGUGUAGCGGUGAAAUGCGUAGAUAUAUGGAGGAACACCAGUGGCGAAGGCGACGGUCUGGGGCGCAACUGACGCUCAUUCCCGAAAGCGUGGGGAGCAAAUAGG